rnacentral:rRNA from 1 species
AUUGAACGCUGGCGGCAGGCCUAAUACAUGCAAGUCGAACGGUAACAUAAGAAAAGCUUGCUUUUCUUGAUGACGAGUGGCGGACGGGUGAGUAAGAUUUGGGAAACUACCUGAUAGAGGGGGACAACAGUUGGAAACGACUGCUAAUACCGCAUACAGCCUCAGGGUGAAAGAAGCGAUUCGCUAUCAGAUGUGCCCAAACGGGAUUAGCUAGUAGGUGAGGUAAAGGCUCACCUAGGCGACGAUCUCUAGCUGGUCUGAGAGGAUGAUCAGCCACAUUGGGACUGAGACACGGCCCAGACUCCUACGGGAGGCAGCAGUAGGGAAUAUUGCACAAUGGAGGAAACUCUGAUGCAGCCAUGCCGCGUGUGUGAAGAAGGCCUUCGGGUUGUAAAG